UGCAUAGAAGGGUAAAUCAGUCAGUUUGUAUAUUAUACCAACACAUCUGAAAUGGAACGAACGUGAUUUCAGCAGCCACAUUCAACUCAUAUCCAACCUUCCAAGUUCCAACUCUCUCCCCAAUUCAUUCUACUCCCUCUAGAAACCUUCUAAAUUUUAAACCCUAGCAAAAUCCAGCCGCUGUCUACAUUUCUGGUAAACCAAAAUCGCGUUUUCUGCAAAUUGAUCGUGAUUCUCCUCCACCUAGCGACGUUAUUUGCCGGAGAAAUUCGCUUCGUGGCUAAAAAUGGGCAAUGUCGAACACCCCGGUGACUGACGUCGGAGAAACUUCAAAAAUGGUAACAAGCAGUGGAAGCGUAAGAUCGAGUGUCAUACAUUUGAUCAUGCCAAAAAGCGGGUUGUCAAUACUUAGAGCAAAAUUCAGCCAAGCACUGUUCUUUGAUGAUCUGAUAAUUUGCAAAUAUAUAUGUUAUCAAAACUCUUACAACUCCUUUGAAUUCAAUGCAAUAAUAUAUGUACUUAGAGGCAAUAUAAAAUACAAACUCAAUAUAACUUUAUGCACUUCAAUGUUUUGUACAUUUGGCUCAUAUUCCUCACAUGUAUAAUAUAAACACAAAGUUUAAUUUCAAUUUAUCACCACUUUCGAGUUGCCUAAA